AGAGUUUGAUCCUGGCUCAGAUUGAACGCUGGCGGCAGGCCUAACACAUGCAAGUCGAACGGUAACAGGAAGAAGCUUGCUUCUUUGCUGACGAGUGGCGGACGGGUGAGUAAUGUCUGGGAAACUGCCUGAUGGAGGGGGAUAACUACUGGAAACGGUAGCUAAUACCGCAUAACGUCGCAAGACCAAAGAGGGGGACCUUCGGGCCUCUUGCCAUCGGAUGUGCCCAGAUGGGAUUAGCUAGUAGGUGGGGUAACGGCUCACCUAGGCGACGAUCCCUAGCUGGUCUGAGAGGAUGACCAGCCACACUGGAACUGAGACACGGUCCAGACUCCUACGGGAGGCAGCAGUGGGGAAUAUUGCACAAUGGGCGCAAGCCUGAUGCAGCCAUGCCGCGUGUAUGAAGAAGGCCUUCGGGUUGUAAAGUACUUUCAGCGGGGAGGAAGGGAGUAAAGUUAAUACCUUUGCUCAUUGACGUUACCCGCAGAAGAAGCACCGGCUAACUCCGUGCCAGCAGCCGCGGUAAUACGGAGGGUGCAAGCGUUAAUCGGAAUUACUGGGCGUAAAGCGCACGCAGGCGGUUUGUUAAGUCAGAUGUGAAAUCCCCGGGCUCAACCUGGGAACUGCAUCUGAUACUGGCAAGCUUGAGUCUCGUAGAGGGGGGUAGAAUUCCAGGUGUAGCGGUGAAAUGCGUAGAGAUCUGGAGGAAUACCGGUGGCGAAGGCGGCCCCCUGGACGAAGACUGACGCUCAGGUGCGAAAGCGCGGGGAGCAAACAGGAUUAGAUACCCUGGUAGUCCACGCCGUAAACGAUGUCGACUUGGAGGUUGUGCCCUUGAGGCGUGGCUUCCGGAGCUAACGCGUUAAGUCGACCGCCUGGGGAGUACGGCCGCAAGGUUAAAACUCAAAUGAAUUGACGGGGGCCCGCACAAGCGGUGGAGCAUGUGGUUUAAUUCGAUGCAACGCGAAGAACCUUACCUGGUCUUGACAUCCACGGAAGUUUUCAGAGAUGAGAAUGUGCCUUCGGGAACCGUGAGACAGGUGCUGCAUGGCUGUCGUCAGCUCGUGUUGUGAAAUGUUGGGUUAAGUCCCGCAACGAGCGCAACCCUUAUCCUUUGUUGCCAGCGGUCCGGCCGGGAACUCAAAGGAGACUGCCAGUGAUAAACUGGAGGAAGGUGGGGAUGACGUCAAGUCAUCAUGGCCCUUACGACCAGGGCUACACACGUGCUACAAUGGCGCAUACAAAGAGAAGCGACCUCGCGAGAGCAAGCGGACCUCAUAAAGUGCGUCGUAGUCCGGAUUGGAGUCUGCAACUCGACUCCAUGAAGUCGGAAUCGCUAGUAAUCGUGGAUCAGAAUGCCACGGUGAAUACGUUCCCGGGCCUUGCACUCACCGCCCGUCA
rnacentral:rRNA from 1 species